CCCAUAAACCAACCGACUAAAAUGUUCAGACUUUAAAAAAAAACCUAAUUAAAUAACAAAUAAAAUAAAAGAAUCAUAAAAACCAACCGUCAUUUCCCCAGUCACUUCAAACAGCCUGUAUCCAUUACUCUUUUAGACUUUUCAUUUCAAAAGAACAUCAGGUCUGUUUCAAAAAGAUAGCAACAACUUCCAAGAAAUCUCCUUCAUUGCUUUCUUUUACCGUUUCAUUUUGUCUUCCUCUUCUCUUUUCAAACUGGAUUUUGUGCUCGUCUUUCUUUUGGAACUAUCAGGUAUACCUCUUCCCCUUUUGUAAGUGCAUCUUUUGCGAGAGUAUGAGCUUGGCCAUUUUCUGUUCUUUGAAUAAAUCUGAAAGUAAUUUUCUGGAAACGAGACCUAUUACUCUGAAUAUCAUGAAUAAUCGUCCCGAUAACAGAUUUGUCCCUUGUUGUUGAUUGACAUUUGUGAAUAACUAUUUUCGGAUCCCCCAUAAUCGUGACUGAGUCUAUCCCCAUGCUGAUACCUAACUUGGUUGCCUCCAAACAUGCAUAUGCUUCGGCAACAAAUGGAGAUGAAAUGUUGAAGUGCAAAGUUGACUUUAAGGCUCUAAUCACACCAUCUUGAUCCCGAACAAUCAUUCCUGAUGCCGAUCUAAAGUUCCUGAUAUCAAAGGCUGCAUCAAACUGUAUUAUCUCCCUUGAUGUAUCUUUGUCUUAUCCUGCAGCUUCAGUAGACGCGUAAGAAAUCCUACUUCCCCUACUUCCUUCAAGUUCCCUUAGAUAACUCUGUAUUUUCUGUGAAAGAUCUAAUCCUGAUAUGGCUUUCUUCUCAUGUAUCAUCUGAUUCCGCGAGCCCCAUAAAACCCAUAGAGCACAACAAAACAAUCGAGUCUGCUCCUUUGUUCCUUUAUCAAAGACCCAGGUGAGCCAACUCCAGAUAUUCUGACUUGCAUAUUCUGUUACCCACGUCAUAUUGAGUCUAAUCCAUACUUCCAUGCUUACAGGACAUUUUCGAAACACAUGAUGGCUAUCUUCCUCCUCAGAUUCGCAACGAGGGCAUCUGGAGUUUGCAGUUACUCUUUUAUACUUCAGAUUAGCCAUGGAUGGGAUAUAGUUCCAGGAAAUCCUCCAUAUGAGGAUUAAAAUCUUUUGUGGUAGUUGUAAAUUCCAUAGGUUAUUGUAAAAUUCUUUAGUUUCGGUCUGUACUAAAUAACUAUUAGGCUCCAGACUAGCUUCUUGUAAUAGUUUGUAUGCACUCCAAACUGAGGACUCACCUGAUUGUUCACCUUUCCACACCUGCAUGUCUUCACAGUCUGUUCUUGCUAGAGGAAUCUGCAAAAUUCUCUGGGCGACUUCCCUUUGGAAGGUAGUUGUAAUUGUUUCUACUUUCCACGUCUUGGUUGUGCUGUCAAUUAGGUCUGAUACUAAGUUUAACCCUUCAUUUCUUUCUCUAUUCUGCCACAUCUCAGGUUCAAUCCCUGGUAUCCAUCGAUCAUUCCAAAUGGAUAUUGCGGAACCUGCCCCCACUCUCCAUCUUAGCCCUUUGAGAAGGGUUCCUUUCGCUGCCCAAAUGCUCCUCCAGGUAAGAGAUGGUAAGUUUUCCAACUGUGCAUUUAGAUAACUUGUCCGUGGAUAAUAUUUAGCUUUAAGCACUCUUGCUGAAAGGGAAUCUGGAUAAUUUAUUAAACGCCAUCCCUGCUUGGCUAAUAAGGCGAUAUUAAACUGACUAAGCUUUUGGAAACCCAUUCCUCCGUUUUCCUUUAAAAGACAAAGGUUUUUCCACGAACACCAAUGUAUACCCCUUUUUCCACGACCUUUCUGCCACCAAUAUUUUGUAACAAUACUUUCCAGAUCUUCGCAUAUUGAUUUUGGUAAUAAAAAACAUGUCAUUGAAUAUGUCGGUAUGGCUUGAAGAACAGCUUUUAUGAAAACCUCUUUUCCCCCUUGUGACAAAAACCGAUUACUCCAAUUCUCGAUACGCUUCUUCAAUCUCUCUUUUAAGACUCCAAAAGAUUUUUUUUUCGUCCAACCAUAUUCGGCAAACCCAAAUAACGUUCCGGCUCAUCUGAACUUCGAACACCCAGCAAAUGUACAACUGAACUUCUUUCUUCCUCUGAAGUGUUUUUACUAAAGAAAACGGUAGAUUUAGCAAAAUUCACACACUGACCCGAACAUCGCUUAUACUCCUUCAGGAUCUCCUUAAUCGCUGUAGCUCCUUUUCUUGACGCUUCCCCGAAUAAAAUGCAGUCAUCUGCAAAUAAUAAGUGUGUCACAUGUGGGCCACUUCUUCUUACCUUGACUCCUUUUAUUGCCCUAUUAUUUAAAGCUAUUCUCAUGAGACUAGAUAAUCCCUCUCCACAAAUUAGAAACAGAAAUGGACUCAGUGGAUCCCCUGUCUCAGUCCCCUUUUUGGAUUGAAAAUUUCACCCAUACUACCAUUGACCACAACUUGAUAAGAGACGGUCGACAUACAAUUCAUAAGAGAAUCAAUCCAUUUUGUGGCAAAACCCAUUUUCAGCAUUAUUUCCCGAACAAAAUCCCAUUCAAUCCUAUCAUAGGCUUUACUCAUGUCAAGUUUAACUGCCAUAAAACCCUUCUUCCCUGUUCUUUUUUGUUUCAGUGUAUGUAAUAAUUCAUAGGCCAGCAAUACAUUGUCUGAAAUUAAUCUUCCCGGUAGGAAAGCACUUUGGGCAUUGUCAAUGCAUUUAUCGAUAAUCCCUCUAAAUCUAUUUGCAAUAGCCUUAGCCAUGAUUUUAUAAAUAACAUUACAUAAACUGAUUGGCCUAAAAUGUGUCAUAUUAACAGGGUCAUUAAUUUUUGUAAUAAGAACAAUAUGCGUUAAAUUGAUUGAACUAACCUCCAUUCCCCCAUUUAAAUGAAGUAAACAAAAUGCCAUAACCUCCUCUCCAAUGAAGUGCCAACAUUUUUUAUAAAAUAGAGCCGGGAAACCAUCUUCACCGGGAGCCUUGGUGGGAUGAAUUUUAAAUAAUGCCUCUCUAACCUCUUCUUUCGUAUAUGGUUCUAUAAGCUUUCGGUUAUCUUCUUCACAAACACAUCGAUCAAUUCUCGUAAGUAAAUUAUCAAAAUUCGCUUGGUUUGCUGUAUUAAAUAAGUUUUGAAAGUAGGACCGUGCUAUGCUUCCCAUUUCUUGAAGGUCGUCUGUUACCACUCCGCAAUCGCUUUGUAAUUGUGUAUCGUAUUUUUCCUCUUCCUUUGCGUUGCUUGACUGUGAAAGAAGGCUGUAUUCCUGUCACCUAGCCUUAGCCAAUUUUGUCUUGCCCUUUGUUCCCAGUAUCUUUCAUCCUUUUCAAUUUCAAAAUUUAAAUGAAUCUUUGUAUCAAUUAGCUCAGCCAUAUUACUAUCGUCCUUUUUCCUCUUCCAUCAGUUUUAAUAGCUUUGUUGAUAAAAGAUCAUUUUUCCCCUGCUUCCUUUUCCUUACUCGUCUCGCCCAGUCUUCCAGUCCUGCUCUCAAGCUUUCCAAUUUCUGUAAAAAACUCCCAGAAGCUGUUUCCCAUAUAUGUUUGGCUUCAUCCAGAAAAGAGUCUUCCAAUAUCCACCAGGCUUCAAAUUUGAAAUGACUUUUCGGUUUUCGUUUAUCUUCUUUAGCUGUGUUAAUUAAUAAAGGACAGUGAUCAGAGAAAGAGUGAACCAGAUGUUGAACCUUCACCAUAGGGAACAUAGAGAUCCAAUUUUCGUUUGCUACACCCUUAUCCAGUCGUUCUUGUAUGCAUGUUUUCGGUAGAUUGCCUCUUUCCCAUGUAAACCAUCUACCAGAAUAUCCCACAUCAGUCAACUGGCAAAAUUCUAAAGUUUCACGGAACAUCUCCAUUCUUUUUUCAUCUCUCAGCAAACCUCCUUUUUUUCAAAGCCAUACAUAAUCUCAUUAAAAUCUCCACACACAAACCAGGGGAUUUUUUCAUUUUUCCAGAGACUUUUCAGCACUGCCCAUGAAUCUUCUCUAUCGUGCGCAUAUGGUGACCCAUAAAACCCAGUAAGUCGCCAUGAAGUAUCUCUUUCAUCAUCAGCCACCAUCACAUCAAUAUGUCUUUUAGAGAAAUUCUGGAGCGUAACAUUAAUAUCAUUUUGCCAUGCCAAACACAACCCUCCUCUAGUACCCUCUGAAUCCACCUCUAUACCAUUCGCAAAACCACAUCUACGACGAAUUCUUUCCAUCCGAUUUCUAUAAAGCUUGGUCUCCAUAAAGAAGACAAUUUGGGGAUUAUAAUUCUUCAGCGAAUGCUGAAGUCUUCGAACUGUCCGUGGAUUCCCCAAUCCACGGACAUUCCAACUUAGUAUUUUCAUUGAAUUCGGUCGGCUUUCCAUUUGGCAACCGCCGAUGUUAAAUGAUUGAUUUCCACCACUUUCCUGCUUUUUACCAUCAAACUGUCAUUCUCUUCUCUUCUUGCACAAUCUUCAAUUUCCCUUCUAGAUCUCUUUUUUCCUUCCUCCCCUAUAAUAGCAACUUCCUCCAAAUCAUGUUCCAUCAUAAUACUCGUGCCAUUUCCUUUUCCUUGGCCUACGCAGCAUAUACCUCCUUCCAGAUUAAGACCAAGGAUUGGAUCAACAAUCUUCCCAAAUCUUGAUUUUCCCCCUAUCUUCUGUUGCUCCAUUCGGACAUCUGUAUUUUCUUCACCAAGACCUCCACUAUCAUCAUCUGUUUCCUCCCGUAACCAGAUACUCUUCAUUGAUAGUGACCUUUGGGAUUGUGCUCUGAUAGAAAGAUCCCAUCCCAAAUCUGCGAUCUCUACUCCAAUCUUCAUAUGGCCCAGUCUUCCACAGAAAAAACAAAAGAGUGACAAUCUUUCAUACUUAAAAGUGACGUAUGAACGUCUCUCCCCAUAUAAAAUUUGUUUCCUCCUUUUCAAAGGAUGCCUUACAUCAAUUUGGACCCUAAUUCUCAUAAAGUUCCUAUUUUCUUUCCCCAAGUUUGCGACGUCAUAUUCCAAAAAAUUCCCCAAAAAAUUCCCCAUCUGCGUAGCUAAAUUUUCAGAAUAUAGGCCAAUUGGCACUUCAUGGAUCUGAACCCAGAAAGGUGUGAAAACUAAAGGGACUUGUAGCGGAUCCUCUCCAACUUUCAAUUUGUAAAGAAUCAGCAGAUGGUUGUUAAAGGUCCAAGGUGAACCCUUUAACACCCUGUCCAUAUCCAUAGCAUGAAAAAAUUGAAACAAAAACCUUCUUUCCCCCAAAUCUCGAAUUCGAACACCCCGAACCGGAUGCCACAAGUUUGCCAUUGUACUUUUCAUAGCAGAAAAAUGAAUCAUACUAGUUGUCAAAAAACAUCCCACAAGUUGAAAAAACUCACCCUCUUUUUCCCGAUUUGGAUCUAUUGGUAUGAGAAUAGCAUCAUCUUCUUCCUCAUUGAUUGACAAGUGGGCUAAUUCAUUCUCCAUCUUUUCCAGGUCACUACUAUGGAUCCACUUCCUGAUGCGAUAGGAAAAACAACUGGGAAACACAGAAAUCAAAGAACAAAAGUUCCACACGAACAAGAAAAACAAAUACUUCUACUAGCGGCGGUAGACAAAGAAACGUGCUAGGGUAGCAGACUUAAAACAACCUUUAUAUAUACUUAUUAAUUAAGUAAACAUAUUUUAUUAUAAUAUAUAUUAAAUUUAUAAAUAUCUUACCUUAUGCCGCCUCAUUAAAGAACAAUGGCAUAAUUGCUUUUUUAGUCCCUUUAAUUUUUCUUUAAUCUAUAAUUUAACUUUCACCCUAUAUGCAAUUUAGUUAUUAUACCUAAUU
rnacentral:lncRNA from 1 species